AGGCUUACAAAGUCCUGAAGAAGAGAGCUCUAAGAUUUGACUUCUGAAAGAAUCAUGAUGCGCUUACUGGCUAAACCAUUCUUCUGCUCUCAGGACUGGAUGGUUUGAUGCUUCAUGUUUCAAAAAGGUGUUUUCACCUCCCUUGAGAUUUUUAUGAGUCCUUUUUAGUGGGAAAAACUGCUGCCUCCUGUAGCACAAGGUCUGUAGAAGCUGCUUGUGGAUUUUGGCCCUGGGGAUGUAGGCGUUAUUGUGUAUUUCUAUAAUUUUUCAAGGAUAUGUAACUUGCCUAUAAAAAUAUGCCUGUGGGUUGAAUCUUGGCAGUUAACAUUUUAGUAAGAGAAUAUACUUAGUAAUAUCUGAAUGUCUAAAAGAGUAACACAUAGGUAAGCUAUUUUUAAAAACUGGGUGACAAAAACAUUGGUUGUUAUUGCCACUUUUUGAACAUGUUUGGCUAUAACUAAAUAUCAACUUUAAAAUUUAUUUUUAAAAAAACAUUUGAGAGGCAAGCAUUUGGGUUAGCUCUACAUUGGCUCCCCUCAUCAUGAAAAACAAAUAACUCAAAUCCCUCAUUUGGAAAACUGGUGACACUGAGCUAGACUUUUUGAGGAUCUGACCUCUUUGGAUACUAGGUAUUUCCAUUGCCUCUGUAGUGUUGCCAUAGGUCAAUACAUACUGACUUACGUUUCUGGGCUCAAUUUUUGUUUGUUUAUUUGUUUGGUUUUGUUUUUGAGACGGAGUCUUGCUCUGUCGCCCAAG